rnacentral:rRNA from 1 species
GAUGAGCGCUGGCGGCGUGCCUAAUACAUGCAAGUCGAGCGAACAGACGAGGAGCUUGCUCCUCUGACGUUAGCGGCGGACGGGUGAGUAACACGUGGAUAACCUACCUAUAAGACUGGGAUAACUUCGGGAAACCGGAGCUAAUACCGGAUAAUAUAUUGAACCGCAUGGUUCAAUAGUGAAAGACGGUUUUGCUGUCACUUAUAGAUGGAUCCGCGCCGCAUUAGCUAGUUGGUAAGGUAACGGCUUACCAAGGCAACGAUGCGUAGCCGACCUGAGAGGGUGAUCGGCCACACUGGAACUGAGACACGGUCCAGACUCCUACGGGAGGCAGCAGUAGGGAAUCUUCCGCAAUGGGCGAAAGCCUGUCGGAGCAACGCCGCGUGAGUGAUGAAGGUCUUCGGAUCGUAAAACUCUGUUAUUAGGGAAGAACAAAUGUGUAAGUAACUAUGCACGUCUUGACGGUACCUAAUCAGAAAGCCACGGCUAACUACGUG